AACGAACGCUGGCGGCAUGCCUAACACAUGCAAGUCGAACGAGAUCUUCGGGUCUAGUGGCGCACGGGUGCGUAACGCGUGGGAAUCUGCCCUUUGGUUCGGAAUAACAGUUGGAAACGACUGCUAAUACCGGAUGAUGACGAAAGUCCAAAGAUUUAUCGCCAGAGGAUGAGCCCGCGUAGGAUUAGCUAGUUGGUGUGGUAAAGGCGCACCAAGGCGACGAUCCUUAGCUGGUCUGAGAGGAUGAUCAGCCACGCUGGGACUGAGACACGGCCCAGACUCCACGGGAGGCAGCAGUGGGGAAUAUUGGACAAUGGGCGAAAGCCUGAUCCAGCAAUGCCGCGUGAGUGAUGAAGGCCUUAGGGUUGUAAAGCUCUUUUACCCGGGAUGAUAAUGACAGUACCGGGAGAAUAAGCUCCGGCUAACUCCGUGCCAGCCGCCGCGGUAAUAC
rnacentral:rRNA from 1 species